rnacentral:rRNA from 1 species
CGGCAGGCCUAACACAUGCAAGUCGAGCGGUAGCACAGAGAGCUUGCUCUCGGGUGACGAGCGGCGGACGGGUGAGUAAUGUCUGGGAAACUGCCUGAUGGAGGGGGAUAACUACUGGAAACGGUAGCUAAUACCGCAUAANGUCGCAAGACCAAAGUGGGGGACCUUCGGGCCUCAUGCCAUCAGAUGUGCCCAGAUGGGAUUAGCUAGUAGGUGGGGUAACGGCUCACCUAGGCGACGAUCCCUAGCUGGUCUGAGAGGAUGACCAGCCACACUGGAACUGAGACACGGUCCAGACUCCUACGGGAGGCAGCAGUGGGGAAUAUUGCACAAUGGGCGCAAGCCUGAUGCAGCCAUGCCGCGUGUAUGAAGAAGGCCUUCGGGUUGUAAAGNACUUUCAGCGGGGAGGAAGGCGAUAAGGUUAAUAACCUUGUCGAUUGACGUUACCCGCAGAAGAAGCACCGGCUAACUCCGUGCCAGCAGCCGCGGUAAUACGGAGGGUGCAAGCGUUAAUCGGAAUUACUGGGCGUAAAGCGCACGCAGGCGGUCUGUCAAGUCGGAUGUGAAAUCCCCGGGCUCAACCUGGGAACUGCAUUCGAAACUGGCAGGCUAGAGUCUUGUAGAGGGGGGUAGAAUUCCAGGUGUAGCGGUGAAAUGCGUAGAGAUCUGGAGGAAUACCGGUGGCGAAGGCGGCCCCCUGGACAAAGACUGACGCUCAGGUGCGAAAGCGUGGGGAGCAAACAGGAUUAGAUACCCUGGUAGUCCACGCCGUAAACGAUGUCGAUUUGGAGGUUGUGCCCUUGAGGCGUGGCUUCCGGAGCUAACGCGUUAAAUCGACCGCCUGGGGAGUACGGCCGCAAGGUUAAAACUCAAAUGAAUUGACGGGGGCCCGCACAAGCGGUGGAGCAUGUGGUUUAAUUCGAUGCAACGCGAAGAACCUUACCUGGUCUUGACAUCCACAGAACUUNGCAGAGAUGCUUUGGUGCCUUCGGGAACUGUGAGACAGGUGCUGCAUGGCUGUCGUCAGCUCGUGUUGUGAAAUGUUGGGUUAAGUCCCGCAACGAGCGCAACCCUUAUCCUUUGUUGCCAGCGGUUCGGCCGGGAACUAAAGGAGACUGCCAGUGAUAAACUGGAGGAAGGUGGGGAUGACGUCAAGUCAUCAUGGCCCUUACGACCAGGGCUACACACGUGCUACAAUGGCAUAUACAAAGAGAAGCGACCUCGCGAGAGCAAGCGGACCUCAUAAAGUAUGUCGUAGUCCGGAUUGGAGUCUGCAACUCGACUCCAUGAAGUCGGAAUCGCUAGUAAUCGUAGAUCAGAAUGCUACGGUGAAUACGUUCCCGGGCCUUGUACACACCGCCCGUCACACCAUGGGAGUGGGUUGCAAAAGAAGUAGGUAGCUUAACCUUCGGGAG